UAUUAAUGGAGUAGAAGAUAUUCUCUAAAAGACAUAUCAAAUAGUGGACAGUUAGAUGUUAUUUCUGCUAUCUUUCUGUGGUUUCUUAUUUCUGUCUGUGCUUUGGAUUCAGGAAUUCCUAGGUAAUCUGCUCUUAUUUCAGUUCUUUCCCACAAAGUACUUGUGAGUGACAUGCAAGACUGCCUUCAUGGAUAGCUCUAUAAAAGAGACACAUUUCCCCAGGAUCUUUGGUUAUGCUUGACUGGACCUACUGAGAAUUCCAUUUUCUCUAUUCUAUUUUCAGAAAAUGCAAAUAUAGAUAGCAUUUCAUGUUUCCUUGAAAACAUAGCUGAAUUGUUAUAUAGUCCUGUGAGCUUAUUCCUUGUGAAUGUUCUCAAUUCGUUGUUCUAGAAGGUUCUGAUCCAUUCAAAUAUAUCUCCUUACAUACAGAUUUUCCUGGAUUCAGAUUUUUACUGGAAAUGACAGUUGAGGCUUAACACUUAAGGUCCAAAGCUAUGUCCAGUUAUAUGCAAGGCAUGUAAAGUUGGGAAUAUAGUUCCGAAGUCCACAAAUAGAGGGAAGUCAUAGGUUAGAAGUAGGAGGAAGGCAAGUCUGGGAGGAUGGAGUGUAUCUAGUGAAAGACUAAACAUGACUUACUUACUUCCCAUCCCCAAACAUAGGCAAAUGAGUUGUCCUUUAAUCUUUCUCUUUAAACAAACACAAGCACUCUAUAUAUCCUCCAAAUAUAUUUCUCUUUCCUAGGCUUCCAGAGACCCAUUAGUAUGUGGGAAUACUUUCCUUGCCUUGCUAUCUUGCAGAACUUUAAACACUUUUUCAGUGCUCUGUAACCAGAAAAAUGUCCCAGCAACUUGGAAUAACUGUAAUAUUUCAGUAACAGGGAACAUCAUUUACUAUGCUGAAAAUGACUCAAGAAUUAUAUAUAUUGCUCAAAUAAUAUGACUUUUGGGCAUCUGAGUAAAUGAAUCUUUCUCAGCCUUCAUGAUACAAUAUUAUGUCCUUUAAUAGGUGGUUCACACCACUUCUAGAAGUCAAAAAUGGGAAAUCAAAGACUCAGAUUUGGAAUCCACCUUUUCCAAUAAGACUCUGCUGGGCAUGGUGGCACAUGCCUUUAAUCCCAGCACUCAGAAGACAGAGGCAGGCAGAUCUCUAAGUUUGAAACCAGCCUGGUCUACAGGGGGAGUUCCAGGGCAGCCAGGACUACUCAGAGAAAUCCUGUCUUGAAAACAAACAAAAAACAAAAAAUGAAAUUCCACAGGACUGAUCUUUCUUUUUCCCAAUCUCUUUGGAUUCACAAUGAAAAUACCUGCAGAGCUACAUUUCUCUUUGUUGCUUUGGCUUAGAAAGGUCAGUAGCUAUGACCAACUAUUACCGCUAAGCUACUCCUACACAGAUCACUUGUCACCUGUGCCUGUCAUCCUUGGAGGCAUGGAAGACAUUUUUAUAAAUGAACUGCCCAUUAAAGAAAGUCACCAAUGAACAGCCAUAGGCACGGAAGACAGCAAGGAAACAAGUCCUUCUAGACCUAACAGGUCUGAUGCACAUACGAACUCACAGAGACUGUGGCAGUAUGUACAGGGCUCGCACAGGUCUAAGCCAGAUGAGAUCCCAGUGCCGACAAGGGAAGUAGGCACACACCCCAUUCCUAACCUAGAAGCCAUUUCUCCAACAGAGUGUCACUGGGUAUACAAACCACACUUAAGGGCAGGCCCCAUGUCCAGCAAUAGAUGGCCAACACAAAGCUAACCCAGCAGUAUUUUCAGAGGUAUUUUUUUUUGUUUCUCAAUGCUUUGUUUAGCUGUUUUGUCCCCUUACUGAUCUUUUGCUUAUAUAUUAUGAUUUCUAAUUUUAUUUUUAUAGGUUUUCCAUGUGUGCAAAUAAGUGUGUUUCAGUGUCUAGAUGUGUUUCUUGUGCUUUUUCUUUGGCUAUUUCCUCUUCUGUUUGUUUUUUUGUCCUCUUACGGUUUGUUUGUUUUCUUUUAUUGUUUUUAGAUGCCUGUUUGUAUUCUAAAGAGAGAGAGAGAAAGAAAGGGUGUGGACUUGGAUAGAUGGAGAAGUAGGGAGGGUUUGGGAAGAUUUGGAGGAAAGGAACUAUCAUAAGAAUAUAAUUGUGUGAAAAAUCUAUUUUUAAAAAGAACAAAAGAAAGAAAAACUAGACAAGAAAAACUUGGAAUGCCCAAGUGCGGAGGUUAGAAGCAUGGCUUUGGAAGCACAUCUAAGUGUGUUCAGAUUUCCCAUUUCCUGCUGUGUGACUCUAUGUAUAUUGUGUAACUUCUUGAAUAUCUUUUUCUUCAUUAAUGGAAUUAAACCUAGCCAAAAAAAAAAGAAAGAAAAAAGAAAAAGAAAGUCACCAAUGUGAGCAAUAGCCAGCAUAUCUAACCCCUGCGUGAUGGACCUUUCUGGAGAAGUUUAGAUGAGGCCAGGCUUAAUGCCAAAGAGCUUACAGACUCUAUCUGUCCAUCCUGUGAAGAUGCAGCAGGAAGGCAGUUGUCAGAAAGAGGCCCUUCCCCAGAACCUGUGCACACUGGCAUUUGAUCUGGGACUUCCUAGCUUCCAGAACUGUAGAAAUAAAUGUUGUUCAAGCCACCCAAUA